AAGACUAUACUUUCAGGGAUCAUUUCUAUAGUUCUUUGCUAGAGAAGUUUCUUUGACUGAGUAGAGUACUGGAAGCCAUGAGGAGAAGGUAUAGCUUCUCUCCUGAGCAUGAAGCCAGCUCUUGGUAAUGUUUUGCUGCAACUGCCACUUGCCAUUGAUAAUCAUCCCUGCUGUCCUUCAGAGGAGCUGGAGGGACUGGACAGGGUCUGAGUGGC
ensembl:snoRNA U3 Small nucleolar RNA U3